AUCAGCAAUGACCUCGCGCGGUUGGAUGGACCGAUGUUCGAUUAGCUAGUUGGUGAGGUAAAGGCUCACCAAGGCGACGAUCGAUAGCUGGUCUGAGAGGAUGAUCAGCCACACUGGGACUGAGACACGGCCCAGACUCCUACGGGAGGCAGCAGUGGGGAAUAUUGGACAAUGGGCGCAAGCCUGAUCCAGCAAUGCCGCGUGUGUGAAGAAGGCCUUCGGGUUGUAAAGCACUUUUAUCAGGAGCGAAAUACCACGGGUUAAUACCCUAUGGGGCUGACGGUACCUGAGGAAUAAGCACCGGCUAACUUCGUGCCAGCAGCCGCGGUAAUACGAAGGGUGCAAGCGUUAAUCGGAAUUACUGGGCGUAAAGCGUGCGUAGGCGGUGAUUUAAGUCUGCUGUGAAAUCCCCGGGCUCAACCUGGGAAUGGCAGUGGAUACUGGAUCGCUAGAGUGUGAUAGAGGAUGGUGGAAUUCCCGGUGUAGCGGUGAAAUGCGUAGAGAUCGGGAGGAACAUCAGUGGCGAAGGCGGCCAUCU
rnacentral:rRNA from 1 species